GAUGAACGCUGGCGGCGUGCCUAAUACAUGCAAGUCGAGCGAACAGACGAGGAGCUUGCUCCUCUUACGUUAGCGGCGGACGGGUGAGUAACACGUGGAUAACCUACCUAUAAGACUGGGAUAACUUCGGGAAACCGGAGCUAAUACCGGAUAAUAUAUUGAACCGCAUGGUUCAAUAGUGAAAGACGGUUUUGCUGUCACUUAUAGAUUGAUCCGCGCCGCAUUAGCUAGUUGGUAAGGUAACGGCUUACCAAGGCGACGAUGCGUAGCCGACCUGAGAGGGUGAUCGGCCACACUGGAACUGAGACACGGUCCAGACUCCUACGGGAGGCAGCAGUAGGGAAUCUUCCGCAAUGGGCGAAAGCCUGACGGAGCAACGCCGCGUGAGUGAUGAAGGUCUUCGGAUCGUAAAACUCUGUUAUUAGGGAAGAACAAAUGUGUAAGUAACUAUGCACGUCUUGACGGUACCUAAUCAGAAAGCCACGGCUAACUACGUG
rnacentral:rRNA from 1 species